rnacentral:rRNA from 1 species
UGGGGAAUAUUGCGCAAUGGGGGGAACCCUGACGCAGCCAUGCCGCGUGAAUGAAGAAGGCCUUAGGGUUGUAAAGUUCUUUCGGUAUUGAGGAAGGUUGAUGUGAUAAUAGCACAUCAAAUUGACGUUAAAUACAGAAGAAGCACCGGCUAACUCCGUGCCAGCAGCCGCGGUAAUACGGAGGGUGCGAGCGUUAAUCGGAAUAACUGGGCGUAAAGGGCACGCAGGCGGUUAUUUAAGUGAGGUGUGAAAGCCCUGGGCUUAACCUGGGAAUUGCAUUUCAGACUGGGUAACUAGAGUACUUUAGGGAGGGGUAGAAUUCCACGUGUAGCGGUGAAAUGCGUAGAGAUGUGGAGGAAUACCGAAGGCGAAGGCAGCCCCUUGGGAAUGUACUGACGCUCAUGUGCGAAAGCGUGGGGAGCAAACAGGAUUAGAUACCCUGGUAGUCCACGCUGUAAACGCUGUCGAUUUGGGGGUUGGGGUUUAACUCUGGCGCCCGUAGCUAACGUGAUAAAUCGACCGCCUGGGGAGUACGGCCGCAAGGUUA